UGUGCGAUCGGAUGAGCAUGCAGGAUGCAGCUGCCCUCUGUUCUCGUGGAGAUGUUGUGCUAAUGUUGCAUCAUCUCUUUCUAUCUUUCAUUUUCCAUAUUGUAUCCAGUACGCGGGCAAUGUUAGCUUUAGCACAGUUGUGCGCGUCUGUUUGGUCAUCAAGUCUGUAACGAAAUCAUCAUCGAACUACUAAGGUGUAUUUCUUAGUUGUAUCGCCUAAACCGUACCUUGCAGCUACUGGUGUCGUCGUGGUAUUGCCACUUGAGCGUGAAGUCAGAUCUUGUAAUUGCAUUUUUCCAAGACUUCUAUAAUGAAAUAUAUGCAUGUGAUGUAGGGAUAGGGGUCGUGCUCAUGCAGGAGCAACAUCCAUUGGCAUAUAUCAGAAGAGUACUUUCGCCCUAGGACAAGAUUUUGUCUGUACUAGAUGAUCCCGCAAGUUGUUGCCGGACUGUUUUGCAAUAUUUCUGUGAGGUUUUGGUUAUAUGGAAAAUGAAUAUCUGAAAUAUUAUUUUUGAACUAAUAUAAAAAUUAAAUGUAAAUAGCACUAUAAAAUGGAAUUUUUCAUGCAUGCAUGUCUGCAUGUUGAGGUGGAUUUUUAUUAUGGAUAAUUGCAUGUUGAGGUGGACCAUUUCUCAUGCAUGUUGAAUGAUGAAGUGUCAUGCUUGCAUGUUGAGAGAAAUGGGUUAGCGGGGGUUAGCUAUUUAGAUAUGAAGAUAUGAGAGAAUUUAUAGUAUUUUGUUUAUUGUGGAACAUUAGAGAGCUGACUUGUCAAGAAAUUUGUCAUUAAAACAAGUCAGAAAAGUCAUUCUCAUUUAACUAGUCAAAGACUGCAUACUCAGCCAAAGCAAAAAGUAAACAAAUUAAUGUGCCUGAUUUAUAAAUUCAUUUACAUAAAAAAAGAGUGGAUAAUUGAGUUGCACAUGAUGUUUUCGGCCUUGUUGCCUUGAAAUCAACUUUAAUAAAGAUGAUUGUGUGUAUCACAAUGAUGCAGAGACUGAGGCUUCUAACCUUCUUGAAAAAUAACAUGCACUUUACCGAAAAAGAGUUUCCCCUGCUUUGUAUACAAAGCAACCAACCGAACCAUACAGGGAUAGGUGCUGGGGUAGAAGCAGCACAGUCACGCCCAAAAGAAACGACAGAGAAAAGCAAAAGAAACAAAUGCCAACAACGGCAGAUCAACAAAAACAAAGAAGCCUCGCGAUCGCAACGCCCACCAGGAUCUUCCACUAGACUAGAAGACUCCGAAGCGCCGGCACCUAUCAACACCUCCAAGAAAGAUCACGAUGAUGAUGACGCUGCUGCCAAGGGUUUCCCCCGGUACACGAUGAGGCGAGAGGAAGGGUAGCCCCGACGCCCUCCCGGAAGGUCAGGAGGCACCUGAUACGUCCAUUUUGCAUCAUGUUUUUAUAUCAAUAUUUAUUGCAUUAUGAGCUGUUAUUACACAAUAUAUCUAAUACUUAUGGCUAUUCUCUCUUAUUUUACAAGGUUUACAUGAAGAGGGGGAAUGCCGGCAGCUGGAAUUCUGACUGAAAAAGGAGCAAACGUUGGAAACCUAUUCUGCACAACUCCAAAAGUCCUGAAACUCCAUGAAACAUCUUUUUGGAAUUAAUAAGAAUUUCUGAGCGAAAGAAAUACACUAGGGGGCCCACACCCUGUCCAGGAGAUAGGGGGGCACCCUGUUGGGUUUCGUAGUAAUUUCAAAAAAUUUCCUACGCACACGCAAGAUCAUGUGAUGCAUAGCAACGAGGGAAGAGUAUUGUCUACGUACCCAACGCAGACCAACUGCGGAAGCGAUGACACGACGUAGAGGAAGUAGUCGUACGUCUUCAUGAUCCAACCGAUCAAGCACCGAAACUACAACACCUCCGAGUUCGAGCACACGUUCAGCUCGAUGACGAUCCCCGGACUCCGAUCCAGCAAAGUGUCGGGGAAGAGUUCCGUCAGCACGACGGCGUGGUGACGAUCUUGAUGUACUACAGCAGCAGGGCUUCGCCUAAACUCCGCUACAGUAUUAUCGAGGUAUAUGGUGGCUGGGGGCGCCGCACACGGCUAAGGAAUAGAUCACGUGGAUCAACUUGUUGUGUCUUUGGUGCUAGCCCUGCCCCUCUAUUUAUAUGUUGAGCCCCGGGGUCGAAACUUGGAGCAAAAGCCUCCUCAAAGUCGGUUUUGCCCGAAAGGCAAGAGUCCCACUCGGACUCCAGGACCAAACGCCACAAUCCUUGGCGUCUGGCCCAGACGCCAUGGGCCUCGGCGUCUGGCCCAGGGCCAGACGCCAGGGUCUCCGGCGUUUGGCCCCCUGGCCUCCGCAAAACUCCUUUUGCACCGACCUAAAGCCUCAUGGGCUUGACCCCUUGGCCUAACCAUAUCAUCCAAUAUAUGAAUCUUUACGUCUCGACCAUUUCGAGACUCCUCGUCAUAUCCCCGAUCUCAUCCGGGACUCCGAACUCCUUCGGUACAUCAAAACAUGUAAACUCAUAAUAUAACUGUCAUCGUAACCUUAAGCGUGCGGACCCUACGGGUUCGAGAACAAUGUAGACAUGACCGAGACACGUCUCCGGUCAAUAACCAAUAGCGGGACCUGGAUGCCCAUAUUGGCUCCUACAUAUUCUACGAAGAUCUUUAUCGGUCAGACCGCAUAACAACAUACGUUGUUCCCUUUGUCAUCGGUAUGUUACUUGCCCGAGAUUCGAUCGUCGGUAUCCAAUACCUAGUUCAAUCUCGUUACCGGCAAGUCUCUUUACUCGUUCCGUAAUACAUCAUCUCACAACUAACAUAUUAGUUGUAAUGCUUGCAAGGCUUAUGUGAUGUGUAUUACCGAGAGGGCCCAGAGAUACCUCUCCGACAAUCGGAGUGACAAAUCCUAAUCUCGAAAUACGCCAAACCCAACAUCGACCAUUGGAGACACCUGUAGUACUCCUUUAUAAUCACCCAGUUACGUUGUGACGUUUGGUAGCACCCAAAGUGUUCCUCAGGCAAACGGGAGUUGCAUAAUCUCAUAGUCAUAGGAACAUGUAUAAGUCAUGAAGAAAGCAGUAGCAACAUACUAAACGAUCGUGUGCUAAGCUAAUGGAAUGGGUCAUGUCAAUCAGAUCAUUCUACUAAUGAUGUGACCUCGUUAAUCAAAUAACAACUCAUUGUUCAUGGUUAGGAAACAUAACCAUCUUUGAUUAACGAGCUAGUCAAGUAGAGGCAUACUAGUGACACUCUGUUUGUCUAUGUAUUCACACAUGUAUUAUGUUUCCGGUUAAUACAAUUAUAGCAUGAAUAAUAAACAUUUAUCAUGAAAUAAGGAAAUAAAUAAUAACUUUAUUAUUGCCUCUAGGGCAUAUUUCCUUCAGUCUCCCACUUGCACUAGAGUCAAUAAUCUAGUUCACAUCGCCAUGUGAUUUAAUAGCAAUAGUUCACAUCACCAUGUGAUUAACACCCAUAGUUCACAUCGAUAUGUGAUCAACACCCAAAGGGUUUACUAGAGUCAGUAAUCUAGUUCACAUCGCUAUGUGAUUAACAUCCAAAGAGUACUAAGGUGUGAUCAUGUUUUGCUCGUGAGAGAAGCUUAGUCAACGGGUCUGUCACAUUCAGAGCCGUAUGUAUUUUGCAAAUAUUCUAUGUCUACAAUGCUCUGUACGGAGCUACUCUAGCUAAUUGCUCCCACUUUCAAUAUGUAUCCAGAUUGAGACUUAGAGUCAUCUGGAUCAGUGUAAAAGUUUGCACUGAUGUAACUUUUACAACAAACUCUUUUAUCACCUCCAUAAUCGAGAAACAUCUCCUUAGUCCUUACUAAGGAUAUUCUUGACCAAUGUCCAGUGAUCUACUCCUAGAUCACUAUUGUACUCCCUUGCCAAAUACAGAGCAAGGUAUAUAAUAGGUCUGGUACAAAGCAUAGCAUACUUUAUAGAACCUAUGACUGAGGCAUAGGGAAUGACUUUUCAUUCUCUUUCUAUUUUCUGCUGUGGUCGGGAUUUGAGUCUUACUCAAUUUCAUACCUUUGCAACACAGGCAAGAACUCUUUCUUUAACUGUUCCAUUUUGAACUAUUUCAAAAUCUUGCCAAGGUAUGUACUCAUUGAAAAUCUUAUCAAGUGUCUUGAUCUAUCUCUAUAGAUCUUGAUACUCAAUAUGUAAGCAGCUUCACCGAGGUCUUUCUUUAAAAAAACUCCUUUCAAAACACUCCUUUAUGCUUUGCAGAAUAAUUCUACAUUAUUUCCGAUCAACAAUAUGUCAUUCACAUAUACUUAUCAGAAAUGUUGUAGUGCUCCCACUCACUUUCUUGUAAAUACAGGCUUCAUCGUAAGUCCAUAUAAAACUAUAUGCUUUGAUCAACUUAUCAAAGCGUAUAUUCCAACUCCGAGAUGCUUGCACCAGUCCAUAGAUGGAUCGCUGGAGCUUGCACAUUUUGUUAGCACCUUUAGGAUUGACAAAACCUUCUGGUUGCAUCAUAUACAACUCUUCUUUAAUAAAUCCAUUAAGGAAUGCAGUUUUGACAUCCAUUUGCCAGAUUUCAUAAAAUGUGGCAAUUUCUAACAUGAUUCAGAUAGACUUAAGCAUCGAUACGAGUGAGAAAACCUCAUCGUAUUCAACACCUUGAACUUGUUGAAAAACUUUUGCAACAAGUCGAGCUUGGUAGAUAGUAACACUACUAUCAGUGUCCGUCUUCCUCUUGAAGAUCCAUUUAUUUAACAUGGCUUUGCUGAUCAUCGAGCAAGUCAAUCAAAGUCCAUACUUUGUUGUCAUACAUGAAUCAUAUCUCAGAUUUUAUGGCCUCAAGCCAUCUCGCGGAAUCUGGGCUCAUCAUCGCUUCCUCAUAGUUCGUAGGUUCAUCAUGGUCUAGUAACAUGACUUCCAGAACAUGAUUACUACACCACUCUGGUGCAGAUCUUACUCUGGAAGACCUACGAGGUUCUGUAGUAACUUGAUCUGAAGUUUUAUGAUCAAUAUCAUUAGCUUCCUCACUAAUUGGUGUAUUUGUCACAGGAACUGAUUUCUGUGAUGAACUACUUUCCAAUAAGGGAGCAGGUACAGUUACCUCAUCAAGUUCUACUUUCCUCCCACUCACUUCUUUCGAGAGAAACUCCUUCUCCAGAAAGGAUCCAUUUUUAGCAACGAAUAUCUUGCCUCCGGAUCUGUGAUAGAAGGUGUACCCAACAAUUUCCUUUGGGUAUUCUAUGAAGACGCACUUCUCCGAUUUGGGUUCGAGCUUAUCAGGAUGAAACUUUUCCACAUAAGCAUCGCAGCCCCAAACUUUAAGAAACGACAACUUGAGUUUCUUGCUAAACCACAGUUCAUAUAGUGUCGUCUCAACGGAUUUAGAUGGUGCCCUUUUAACGUGAAUGCAGCUGUCUCUAAUGCAUAACCCCAAAACGACAAUGGUAAAUCAAUAAGAGACAUCAUAGAUCGCACCAUAUCCAAUAAAGCGCGGUUACGACGUUCGGACACACCAUAACAUUGUGGUGUUCCAGGUGGCGUGAGCUAUGAAACUAUUCCACAUUGUUUUAAUUGAAGACCAAACUCGUAACUCAAAUAUUUGUCUCCGUGAUUAGAUCGCAGAAACUUUAUUCUUCUUGUUACGAUGAUUUUUCCACUUCACUCUGAAAUUCUUUGAACCUUUCAAUUAUUUCAGACUUAUGUUUCAUCAAGUAGAUAUCCCCAUAUCUGCUCAAAUCAUCUGUGAAGGUCAGAAAAUAAUGAUACCUGCUGCAAGCCUUAAUAUUCACCGGACCACAUACAUCAGUAUGUAUGAUCUCCAAUAAAUCUGUUGCUUACUUCAUUGUUCCGGAGAACGGCGUUUUAGUCAUCUUGCCUAAAAGGCAUGGUUCGCAAGCAUCAAGUGAUUCAUAAUCAAGUGAUUCCAAAAUCCCAUCAGCAUGGAGUUUCUUCAUGCGCUUUACACCAAUAUGACCUAAACGGCAGUGCUACAAAUAAGUUGCACUAUCAUUAUUAACUUUGCAUCUUUUGGUUUCAAAAUUAUGAUUAUGUGUAUCAUCACGAUCGAGAUCCAACGAACUAUUUUUCAUUGGGUGUGUAACCAUACAAGGUUUUAUUCAUGUAGACAGAACAACAAUUUAUUCUCUUACUUAAAUGAAUAACCGUAUUACAAUAAACAUGAUCAAAUCAUAUUCAUGCUCAACGCAAACACCAAAUAACACUUAUUCAGGUUCAACACUAAUCCCGAAAGUAUAGGGAGUGUGCGAUGAUGAUCAUAUCAAUCUUGGAACCACUUCCAACACACAUCGUCACUUCACCCUUAACUAGUCUCUGUUUAUUCUGCAACUCCCGUUUCGAGUUUACUAAUCUUAGCAACUGAACUAGUAUCAAAUACUGAGGGGUUGCUAUAAACACUAGUAAAGUACACAUCAAUAACAUGUAUAUCAAAUAUACUUAUGUUCACUUUGCCAUCCUUAUUAUCUGCCAAUCACUUGGGGUAGUUCCGCUUCUAGUGACCAGUCCCUUUGCAGUAGAAACACUUAGUCUCAGGCUUAGGACCAGACUUGGGCUUCUUCACUUGAGCAGCAACUUGCUUGCCGUUCUUCUUGAAGUUCCCCUUCUUCCCUUUGCCCUUUUCUUGAAACUAGUGGUCUUAUCAACCAUCAACACUUGAUGUUUUUCUUGAUUUCUACCUUCAUUGAUUUCAUCAUCACGAAGAGCUUGGGAGUUGUUUCCGUUAUCCCUUGCAUAUUAUAGUUCAUCACGAAGUUCUACUAACUUGGUGAUGGUGACUAGAGAAUUCUGUCAAUCACUAUCUUAUCUGGAAGAUUAACUCCCACUUGAUUCAAGCGAUUGUAGUACCCAGACAAUCUGAGCACAUGCUCACUAGUUGAGCGAUUCUCCUCCAUCUUUUAGCUAUAGAACUUGUUGGAGACUUCAUAUCUCACAACUCGGGUAUUUGCUUGAAAUAUUAACUUCAACUCCUGGAACAUCUCAUAUGGUCCAUGACGUUCAAAACGUCUUUGAAGUCCCGAUUCUAAGCCGUUAAGCAUGGUGCACUUAAACUAUCAAGUAGUCAUCAUAUUGAGCUAGCUAAACGUUCAUAACGUUUGCAUCUGCUCCUGCAAUAGGUCUGUCACCUAGCGGUGCAUCAAGGACACAAUUCUUCUGUGCAGCAAUGAGGAUAAACCUCAGAUCAUGGAUCCAAUCCGCAUCAUUGCUACUAACAUCUUUCAACACAAUUUUCUCUAGGAACAUAUCAAAAUAAACACAAGGAAGCAACAACGCGAGCUAUUGAUCUAUAAUUUGCAAAAUACUACCAGGACUAAGUUCAUGAUAAAUUUAAGUUCAAUUAAUCAUAUUACUUAAGAACUCCCACUUAGACAGACAUCCCUCUAAUCCUCUAAGUGAUCACGUGAUCCAAAUCAACUAAACCAUGUCCGAUCAUCACGUGAGAUGGAGUAGUUUCAAUGGUGAACAUCACUAUGUUGAUCAUAUCUACUAUAUGAUUCACGCUCGACCUUUCGGUCUCCGUGUUCCGAGGCCAUAUCUGCAUAUGCUAGGCUCGUCAAGUUUAACCUGAGUAUUCUGCGUGCGCAACUGUUUUGCACCCGUUGUAUUUGAACGUAGAGCCUAUCACACCCGAUCAUCAUGUGGUGUCUCAGCACGAAGAACUUUCGCAACGGUGCAUACUCAGGGAGAACACUUCUUGAUAAUUUAGUGAGAGAUCAUCUUAUAAUGCUACCGUCAAUCAAAGCAAGAUAAGAUGCAUAAAAAGAUAAACAUCACAUGCAAUCAAUAUAAGUGAUAUGAUAUGGCCAUCAUCAUCUUGUGCUUGUGAUCUCCAUCUCCGAAGCACCGUCAUGAUCACCAUCGUCACCGGCGCGACACCUUGAUCUCCAUCGUAGCAUCGUUGUCGUCUCGCCAAUCUUAUGCUUUCACGACUAUCACUACCGUUUAGUAAUAAAGUAAAGCAUUACAUCGCGAUUGCAUUGCAUACAAUAAAGCGACAACCAUAUGGCUCCUGCCAGUUGCCGAUAACUUGGUUACAAAACAUGAUCAUCUCAUACAAUAAAAUUCAGCAUCAUGCCUUGACCAUAUCACAUCACAACAUGCCCUGCAAAAACAAGUUAGACGUCCUCUACUUUGUUGUUGCAUGUUUUACGUGGCUGCUACGGGCUUAAGUAAGAACCAAUCUCACCUACGCAUCAAAACCACAAUGAUAGUUUGUCAAAUAGACUCCGUUUUAACCUUCGCAAGGACCGGGCGUAGCCAUACUUGGUUCAACUAAAAUUGGAGAGACAGUCGCCCGCAAGCCAUCUCUGUGCAAAGCACGUCGAGGGAACCGGUCUCGCGUAAGCGUACGCGUAAGGUUGGUCCGGGUCGUCUCGUCCAACAAUACCGCCGAACCAAAGUAUGACAUGCUGGUAGGCAGUAUGACUUGUAUCGUCCACAACUCACUUGUGUUCUACUCGUGCAUAUAACAUCAACAUAAAAAAACUUGGCUCUGAUACCACUGUUGGGUUUCGUAGUAAUUUCAAAAAAAUUCCUACGCACACGCAAGAUCAUGUGAUGCAUAGCAACGAGGGAAGAGUAUUGUCUACGUACCCAACGCAGACCAACUGCGGAAGCGAUGACACGACGUAGAGGAAGUAGUCGUACGUCUUCACGAUCCAACCGAUCAAGCACCGAAACUACAGCACCUCCGAGUUCGAGCACACGUUCAGCUCGAUGACGAUCCCCGGACUCCGAUCCAGCAAAGUGUCGGGGAAGAGUUCCGUCAGCACGACGGCGUGGUGACGAUCUUGAUGUACUACAGCAGCAGGGCUUCGCCUAAACUCCGCUACAGUAUUAUCGAGGUAUAUGGUGGCUGGGGGCGCCGCACACGGCUAAGGAAUAGAUCACGUUGAUCAACUUGUUGUGUCUUUGGUGCUAGCCCUGCCCCUCUAUUUAUAUGUUGAGCCCCGGGGUCGAAACUUGGAGCAAAAGCCUCCUCAAAGUCGGUUUUGCCCGAAAGGCAAGAGUCCCACUCGGACUCCAGGACCAAACGCCACAAUCCUUGGCGUCUGGCCCAGACGCCAUGGGCCUCGGCGUCUGGCCCAGGGCCAGACGCCAGGGUCUCCGGCGUUUGGCCCCCUGGCCUCCGCAAAACUCCUUUUGCACCGACCUAAAGCCUCAUGGGCUUGACCCCUUGGCCUAACCAUAUCAUCCAAUAUAUGAAUCUUUACGUCUCGACCAUUUCGAGACUCCUCGUCAUGUCCCCGAUCUCAUCCGGGACUCCGAACUCCUUCGGUACAUCAAAACAUGUAAACUCAUAAUAUAACUGUCAUCGUAACCUUAAGCGUGCGGACCCUACGGGUUCGAGAACAAUGUAGACAUGACCGAGACACAUCUCUGGUCAAUAACCAAUAGCGGGACCUGGAUGCCCAUAUUGGCUCCUACAUAUUCUACGAAGAUCUUUAUCGGUCAGACCGCAUAACAACAUACGUUGUUCCCUUUGUCAUCGGUAUGUUACUUGCCCGAGAUUCGAUCGUCGGUAUCCAAUACCUAGUUCAAUCUCGUUACCGGCAAGUCUCUUUACUCGUUCCGUAAUACAUCAUCUCACAACUAACAUAUUAGUUGUAAUGCUUGCAAGGCUUAUGUGAUGUGUAUUACCGAGAGGGCCCAGAGAUACCUCUCCGACAAUCGGAGUGACAAAUCCUAAUCUCGAAACACGCCAACCCAACAUCGACCAUUGGAGACACCUGUAGUACUCCUUUAUAAUCACCCAGUUACGUUGUGACGUUUGGUAGUACCCAAAGUGUUCCUCCGGUAAACGGGAGUUGCAUAAUCUCAUAGUCAUAGGAACAUGUAUAAGUCAUGAAGAAAGCAAUAGCAACAUACUAAACGAUCGGGUGCUAAGCUAAUGGAAUGGGUCAUGUCAAUCAGAUCAUUCUACUAAUGAUGUGACCUCGUUAAUCAAAUAACAACUCAUUGUUCAUGGUUAGGAAACAUAACCAUCUUUGAUUAACGAGCUAGUCUAGUAGAGGCAUACUAGUGACACUUUGUUUGUCUAUGUAUUCACACAUGUAUUAUGUUUCCGGUAAAUACAAUUCUAGCAUGAAUAAUAAACAUUUAUCAUGAUUAUAAGGAAAUAAAUAAUAACUUUAUUAUUGCCUCUAGGGCAUAUUUCCUUCAGUCUCCCACUUGCACUAGAGUCAAUAAUCUAGAUUACACUGUAAACACCCAUGGAGCUUUGGUGCUGAUCAUGUUUUGCUCGUGGAAGAGGCUUAGUCAACGGGUCUGCAACAUUCAGAUCCGUAUGUAUCUUGCAAAUCUCUAUGUCUCCCACCUGGACUAGAUCCCGGAUGGAGUUGAAGCGUCUCUUGAUGUGUUUGGUCCUUUUGUGAAAUCUGGAUUCCUUUGCCAAGGCAAUUGCACCAGUAUUGUCACAAAAGAUUUUCAUUGGACCCGAUGCACUAGGUAUGACACCUAGAUCGGAUAUGAACUCCUUCAUCCAGACUCCUUCAUUUGCUGCUUCCGAAGCAGCUAUGUAUUCCGCUUCACAUGUAGAUCCCGCUACAACGCUUUGUUUAGAACUGCACCAACUGACAGCUCCACCGUUUAAUGUAAACACGUAUCCGGUUUGCGAUUUAGAAUCGUCCGGAUCAGUGUCAAAGCUUGCAUCAACGUAACCUUUUACGGUGAGCUCUUUGUCACCUCCAUAUACGAGAAACAUAUCCUUAGUCCUUUUCAGGUAUUUUAGGAUGUUCUUGUUAGGUUUCGUAGUAAUUUCAAAAAUUUUCCUACGCGCACACAGGAUCAUGUGAUGCAUAGCAACGAGAGGAGAGUGUUGUCUACGUACCCAACGCAGACCGACUGCGGAAGCGAUGACACGACGUAGAGGAAGUAGUCGUACGUCUUCACGAUCCAACCGAUCAAGCACCGAAACUACGGCACCUCCGAGUUCGAGCACACGUUCAGCUCGAUGACGAUCCCCGGACUCCGAUCCAGCAAAGUGUCGGGGAAGAGUUUCGUCAGCACGACGGCGUGGUGACGAUCUUGAUGAACUACAGCAGCAGGGCUUCGCCUAAACUCCGCUACAGUAUUAUCGAGGAAUAUGGUGGCAGGGGGCACCGCACACGGCUAAGGAAUCGAUCACGUGGAUCAACUUGUGUCAACUUGUGUGUUUAGAGGUGCCCCUGCCUCCGUAUAUAAAGGAGGAGAGGAGGGGAGGCUGGCCGGCCAAGGGGGGGAGGCGCAGGAGAGUCCUACUCCCUCUGGGAGUAGGAUUCCCCCUCCAAUCCUAGUCCAACUAGGAUUCCUCGGAGGGGAAAAGAGGAGGAGGGGGCCGGCCACCUCUCCUAGUCCUAAUAGGACUAGGGGAAGGGGGGGGGGCGCAGCCCAUCUAGGGCAGCUCCUUCUCUUUUCCACUAAGGCCCACUAUGGCCCAAAUAGCUCCCGGGGGGUUCCGGUAACCCUCUCGGUAUUCUUGUAAAAUCCCGAUUUCACCCGGAACACUUCCGAUAUCCAAAUAUAGGCUUCCAAUAUAUCAAUCUUUAUGUCUCGACCAUUUCGAGACUCCUCGUCAUGUCCGUGAUCACAUCCGGGACUCCGAACAACCUUCGGUACAUCAAAAUGCAUAAACUCAUAAUAUAACUGUCAUCGUAACCUUAAGCGUGCGGACCCUACGGGUUCGAGAACAAUGUAGACAUGACCGAGACACGUCUCCGGUCAAUAACCAAUAGCGGGACCUGGAUGCCCAUAUUGGCUCCUACAUAUUCUACGAAGAUCUUUAUCGGUCAGACCGCAUAACAACAUACGUUGUUCCCUUUGUCAUCGGUAUGUUACUUGCCCGAGAUUCGAUCGUCGGUAUCCAAUACCUAGUUCAAUCUCGUUACCGGCAAGUCUCUUUACUCGUUCCGUAAUACAUCAUCUCAAAACUAACAUAUUAGUUGUAAUGCUUGCAAGGCUUAUGUGAUGUGUAUUACCGAGAGGGCCCAGAGAUACCUCUCCGACAAUCGGAGUGACAAAUCCUAAUCUCGAAAUACGCCAACCCAACAUCGACCAUUGGAGACACCUGUAGUACUCCUUUAUAAUCACCCAGUUACGUUGUGACGUUUGGUAGCACCCAAAGUGUUCCUCAGGCAAACGGGAGUUGCAUAAUCUCAUAGUCAUAGGAACAUGUAUAAGUCAUGAAGAAAGCAGUAGCAACAUACUAAACGAUCGUGUGCUAAGCUAAUGGAAUGGGUCAUGUCAAUCAGAUCAUUCUACUAAUGAUGUGACCUCGUUAAUCAAAUAACAACUCAUUGUUCAUGGUUAGGAAACAUAACCAUCUUUGAUUAACGAGCUAGUCAAGUAGAGGCAUACUAGUGACACUCUGUUUGUCUAUGUAUUCACACAUGUAUUAUGUUUCCGGUUAAUACAAUUAUAGCAUGAAUAAUAAACAUUUAUCAUGAAAUAAGGAAAUAAAUAAUAACUUUAUUAUUGCCUCUAGGGCAUAUUUCCUUCACACCCCCCCUAUAGGGCGCGUCCCCCUAUCUCCUGGGCCCCCUGGUGGGCCUCCGGUGUCUCUUCUGCUAUAUCAUCGCUUUUACCCUGGAAAAAAUCGUGGGCAAGUUUACGGGACGAAACUCCGCCGCCACGAGGCGGAACCUUGGCGGAACCAAUCUAGGGCUCUGACAGAGCUGUUCUGCCGGGGACACUUCCCUCCGGGAGGGGGAAAUCAUCACCAAUGUCAUCAUCAAUGAUCCUCUCAUCGGGAGGGCGUCAAUCUCCAUCAACAUCUUCACCAGCACCAUCUCCUCUCAAACCCUAGUUCAUCUCGUGUAUCCAAUCUUGUAUCCAAAACUACAAAUUGGUACCUGUGGGUUGCUAGUAGUGUUGAUUACUCCUUGUAGUUGAUACUUAUUGGUUUACUUGGUGGAAGAUCAUAUGUUCAGAUCCUUAAUGCAUAUUAUUACACCUCUGAUCAUGAACAUGAAUAUGCUUUGUGAGUAGUUACGCUUGUUCCUGAGGACAUGAGUGAAGUCUUGCUAUUAGUAGUCAUGUGAAUUUGGUAUUCGUUCGAUAUUUUGAUGAGAUGUAUGUUGUCUUCUCCUCUAGUGGUGUCAUGUGAACGUCGACUACAUGACACUUCACCAUUAUUGGGCCUAGAGGAGGGCAUAGGAAAGUAAUAAGUAGAUGAUGGGUUGCUAGAGUGACAGAAGGUUAAACCCUAGUUUAUGUGUUGCUUCGUUAGGGGGCUGAUUUGGAUCCAUAUGUUUCAUGCUAUGGUUAGGUUUACCUUAAUACUUUUGUUGUAGUUGCGGAUGCUUGCAAUAGGGGUUAAUCAUAAGUGGGAUGCUUGUCCAAGUAAGGGCAGUACCCAAGCACCAGUCCACCCACAUAUCAAAUUAUCAAAGUACCGAACGCGAAUCAUAUGAGCAUGAUGAAAACUAGCUUGACGAUAAUUCCCAUAUGUCCUCGGGAGCUCCUUUCUCAUUAUUAGAAUUUGUCCCGGCUUAUCCUUUGCUACAUAAAGGAUUGGGCCACCUUGCUGCACUUUAUUUACUUUGUUUACUUGUUACUAUUUAUCUUAUCAUAAAACUAUCUAUCACCUACAAUUUCAGUGCUUGCAGAAAACCUUACUGAAAACCGUUUAUCAUUUCCUUCUGCUCUUCGUUGGGUUCGACAUUCUUACUUAUCGAAAGGACUACGAUAGAUCCCCCAUACUUGUGGGUCAUCAGCACCCACAGGCGCCACCGCGCCGGUGUCGGCCAUGCCGACAAGGGUUUCCCCUGAUCCCAACCUGCACCUCGGGCGCCCCGAAGCCUACCACCAAACCAACCACCACCGUGCGCCAACGCGGUCAUGAGGCCCCCAUGUCGUCUCACCACGGCACCGCGAAGUGAGGACAACACUGCAAGGAAUCAGAGCUGGGACUAGGGCAACAGCCCGUUGGCACGCGGGAGGGCCUCACCUCCAUCGUCAGCGACGGUAGCCGUCUGGACGCAAUAGCAGGAGCACAACAGCCCGUGGGCCCACAGGCCCGACCGAGCCCUCGUGGACCCGUAAAGCUCCCGCCUUCGCGCUGCUGCCGGCACGCCGUCGAUGCCGCCGCCCCAAAUCCGAGCCGCUCCUCCUCCUAACCGCGCCGCAAACAACGAGGUCACGCCCGGGGGCCGGCCCGCUAGGACCCAGAUGGGGCCCUGAGGGCCCAGAUCUGGGUCAGAGACGCGCCGCCGGACAACCAGCGCCACCAGGCCGCCCCGCCGCCAAAGGACGGCGCCAACACCGCGCCGGGCCGCCGUCGGCCAAAGGGCACCCGCCGCUAGCCCUGACCCCGGGUCAGGAGGUGCACGCGUGGAGGAAGGAAGGGCCCGCCGCCGCCAGCCCGCCCGGCCAGAUCCGGGGGCUCCGCUGGCGGCGGCGGGGGAGGGGGAGGGGGAGGAGCACGGGGGAGGGGGGAGGAGAGAAGAGCAAUGGGGGCCGCCCUGGCUGCCCCCCGGGAGGCGGCGAGCGCGGGGUCGGGGGAGGGGUAACAUGCACUUCCUAGACGCCUCAUACUGAAGCAGACUUUUCAGUUGUUUCCCGUUAGCAACAUGUAGGAGCAGAAGACAUUGCCGUCGGGUACCAGUAAGAUACUAAAGCCAGCGAGAUACCGCAACUAGCUCUCAAACCAAAUUCUCGCCCUCCAUUCCAGUUGAGCAAUGGUGUUAUCAGAUAUAAUCUGUUUUAAAAUAAGUAUCAUGGUUUAUUUCAAAUUUGAAUUAAAAUCAUGACACUUGUUUUAGAACUGAGGGAGUAAUACUUAAUUGCAUGAGAGGAUAUUUACCGCUUUCCAUUCCAGUUCACAAGGAGGGAACUCAUGUAUGGUCUAUCUCUCCUUUAGGACAUUAUGACAAAAUUAUAGUAGUCAAUGACAUGUUCACAAAAAAGACCAUUUCAUUCAAUGAAGCACCCCUUUCCACUCAGAAGGUUGCAACUGUUUUUGUUGAUAACAUAUCUAGCAUGCCUAAAUACGUGGUGUGUGACACACCCAGCAUUUACUAGUAAAUUUUGGCAAAUAUUCAUCGAACAUGUUGGUUAUGUGCUGCAAAUGAGUUCAACUUACCACCAUGUCAGUGAUGGUCAAACACGGAGUGUCAAUAAGGAAGCAGGGUUAGAUGUUUGAACUUGUCGCAACCUGAGUUUUUUUUUUCAUAUAUUCGUUUAUUCAAAACGUUUUAUCUCUUAAACUGCGCGUCCAAAUUUUAAACCCGUUUUCAUCAUUGAAUUUCUCGCGUUGAGAUCUUCAAAGUUAGAUCCCAUCUUGAUAGGUUUUCAUGAAAAACAUGAAAAAAAAAAACCCGAACAGGAAGC
rnacentral:lncRNA from 1 species